AUUGAACGCUGGCGGCAGGCCUAACACAUGCAAGUCGAACGAGUGGCGGACGGGUGGGUAAUGUCUGGGAAACUGCCUGAUGGAGGGAGCUAACUACGGGAAACGGUAGCUAAUACCGCAUACCAUCGGAUGUGCCCAAAUGGGAUUAUCUUGUUGGUGGGGUAACGGCUCACCAAGGCGACGAUCCCUAGCUGGUCUGAGAGGAUGACCAGCCACACGGGAACUGAGACACGGUCCAGACUCCUACGGGAGGCAGCAGUGGGGAAUAUUGGACAAUGGGCGAAAGCCUGAUCCAGCCAUGCCGCGUGUGUGAAGAAGGUCUUCGGAUUGUAAAGCACUUUAAGUAGGGAGGCGUUACCAACAGAAUAAGCACCGGCUAACUUCGUGCCAGCAGCCGCGGUAAUAC
rnacentral:rRNA from 1 species